GACGAACGCUGGCGGCGUGCUUAACACAUGCAAGUCGAACGGAAAGGCCCUGCUUUUGUGGGGUGCUCGAGUGGCGAACGGGUGAGUAACACGUGAGUAACCUGCCCUUGACUUUGGGAUAACUUCAGGAAACUGGGGCUAAUACCGGAUAGGAGCUCCUGCUGCAUGGUGGGGGUUGGAAAGUUUCGGCGGUUGGGGCUGGACUCGCGGCUUAUCAGCUUGUUGGUGGGGUAGUUGCUUACCAAGGCUUUGACGGGUAGCCGGCCUGAGAGGGGGACCGGCCACAUGGGGCCUGAGAGACGGCCCAGACUCCUACGGUAGGCAGCAGUGGGGAAUAUUGCGCAAUGGGCGGAAGCCUGAGGCAGCAACGCCGCGUGCGGGAUGACGGCCUUCGGGUUGUAAACCGCUUUCGCCUGUGACGAAGCGGGAGUGACGGUAAUGGGUAAAAAAGCACCGGCUAACUACGUG
rnacentral:rRNA from 1 species